rnacentral:rRNA from 13 species
CCAGCAGCCGCGGUAAUACGGAGGGGGUUAGCGUUGUUCGGAAUUACUGGGCGUAAAGCGCACGCAGGCGGUUUGUUAAGCUAGAUGUGAAAGCCCCGGGCUCAACCUGGGAUGGUCAUUUAGAACUGGCAGACUAGAGUCUUGGAGAGGGGAGUGGAAUUCCAGGUGUAGCGGUGAAAUGCGUAGAUAUCUGGAGGAACAUCAGUGGCGAAGGCGACUCCCUGGCCAAAGACUGACGCUCAUGUGCGAAAGUGUGGGUAGCGAACAGGAUUAGAUACCCUGGUAGU